GAAGGUUACUAAGACUGGAUAGGAAACAAAAAGGCAUCUUUUUGUUUUUAAAAGACCUUCUUACGAAGGUAUGCUUAAAGAGGGGCUUGCGCCACAUUAGUUAGUUGGUAGAGUAAAAGCCUACCAAGACGAUGAUGUGUAGCUGGACUGAGAGGUUGAACAGCCACAUUGGGACUGAGACACGGCCCAAACUCCUACGGGAGGCAGCAGUAGGGAAUUUUCGGCAAUGGAGGAAACUCUGACCGAGCAACGCCGCGUGAACGAUGAAGUAUUUCGGUAUGUAAAGUUCUUUUAUUGAAAAAGAAAAAGUAGUGGAAAAACUAUAUUGACGUUAUUCAAUGAAUAAGCCCCGGCUAACUAUGUGCCAGCAGCCGCGGUAAGACAUAGGGGGCGAGCGUUAUCCGGAAUUAUUGGGCGUAAAGGGUGCGUAGGCUGUUAGAUAAGUCUAUAAUUUAAUUUCAGUGCUUAACGCUGUCUUGUUAUAGAAACUGUCUUGACUAGAGUGAGAUAGAGGCAAGCGGAAUUCCAUGUGUAGCGGUAAAAUGUGUAAAUAUAUGGAGGAACACCAGAAGCGUAGGCGGCUUGCUGGGUCUUUACUGACGCUGAGGCACGAAAGCGUGGGUAGCAAACAGGAUUAGAUACCCUGGUAGUCCACGCCGUAAACGAUGAGUACUAAGUGUCGGGGUAAAACUCGGUACUGAAGUUAACACAUUAAGUACUCCGCCUGAGUAGUACGUACGCAAGUAUGAAACUUAAAGGAAUUGACGGGACUCCGCACAAGCGGUGGAUCAUGUUGUUUAAUUCGAAGAUACACGAAAAAUCUUACCAGGUCUUGACAUACUCUGCAAAGCUAUAGAAAUAUAGUGGAGGUUAUCAGGGAUACAGGUGGUGCAUGGUUGUCGUCAGUUCGUGUCGUGAGAUGUUAGGUUAAGUCCUAAAACGAACGCAACCCUUGUCGUUAAUUGCCAGCACAUAAUGGUGGGGACUUUAACGAGACUGCCAAUUAAACAUUGGAGGAAGGUGAGGAUUACGUCAAAUCAUCAUGCCCCUUAUGAUCUGGGCUACAAACGUGAUACAAUGGCUGUGACAAAGAGUAGCUGAAACGCGAGUUUUUAGCCAAUCUCAAAAAAGCAGUCUCAGUUCGGAUUGAAGUCUGUAACUCGACUUCAUGAAGUUGGAAUCGCUAGUAAUCGCGAAUCAGCAUGUCGCGGUGAAUACGUUCUCGGGGUUUGUACACACCGCCCGUCA
rnacentral:rRNA from 2 species